UAAGCCAUGCGAGUCAUUGUAGCAAUACAAGGCAGACGGCUCAGUAACGCGUAGUCAACCUACCCUAUGGACGGGAAUAACCUCGGGAAACUGAGAAUAAUGCCCGAUAGAACACUAUACCUGGAAUGGUUUGUGUUCCAAAUGAUUUAUCGCCGUAGGAUGGGACUGCGGCCUAUCAGUUUGUUGGUGAGGUAAUGGCCCACCAAGACUAUUACAGGUACGGGCUCUGAGAGGAGUGGCCCGGAGAUGGGUACUGAGACACGGACCCAGGCCCUAUGGGGCGCAGCAGGCGAGAAAACUUUGCAAUGUGCGAAAGCACGACAAGGUUAAUCCGAGUGGUUUGUGCUAAACGAACCUUUUGUUAGUCAUAGAACCACUAAUGAAUAAGGGGUGGGCAAGUUCUGGUGUCAGCCGCCGCGGUAAAACCAGCACCUCAAGUGGUCAGGAUGAUUACUGGGCCUAAAGCAUCCGUAGCCGGCUCUGUAAGUUUUCGGUUAAAUCUGUACGCUCAACGUACAGGCUGCCGGGAAUACUGCAGAGCUAGGGAGUGGGAGAGGUAGACGGUACUCGGUAGGAAGGGGUAAAAUCCUUUGAUCUAUUGAUGACCACCUGUGGCGAAGGCGGUCUACCAGAACACGUCCGACGGUGAGGGAUGAAAGCUGGGGGAGCAAACCGGAUUAGUUACCCGGGUAGUCCCAGCUGUAAACUAUGCAAACUCAGUGAUGCAUUGGCUUGUGGCCAAUGCAGUGCUGCAGGGAAGCCGUUAAGUUUGCCGCCUGGGAAGUACGUACGCAAGUAUGAAACUUAAAGGAAUUGGCGGGGGAGCACCACAAGGGGUGAAGCCUGCGGUUC
rnacentral:rRNA from 1 species